rnacentral:rRNA from 1 species
UACGGGGGGGGCAAGCGUUGUUCGGAAUUACUGGGCGUAAAGGGCUCGUAGGUGGCCAACUAAGUCAGACGUGAAAUCCCUCGGCUUAACCGGGGAACUGCGUCUGAUACUGGAUGGCUUGAGUUUGGGAGAGGGACGCGGAAUUCCAGGUGUAGCGGUGAAAUGCGCAGAUAUCGGGAGGAACACCGGUGGCGAAGGCGGUUCUCUGGGCCUGUACUGACGCUGAGGAGCGAAAGCGUGGGGAGCAAACAGG